UACGAAGGGGGCUAGCGUUGUUCGGAAUUACUGGGCGUAAAGCGCACGUAGGCGGACUAUUAAGUCAGGGGUGAAAUCCCGGGGCUCAACCCCGGAACUGCCUUUGAUACUGGUAGUCUCGAGUCCGGAAGAGGUGAGUGGAAUUCCGAGUGUAGAGGUGAAAUUCGUAGAUAUCAGGAGGAACACCGGUGGCGAAAGCGGCUCACUGGCCGGAAACUGACACUGAGGUGCGAAAGCUAGGGUAGCAAACGGG
rnacentral:rRNA from 1 species